CCUACGGGAGGCAGCAGUGGGGAAUAUUGCACAAUGGGCGCAAGCCUGAUGCAGCGACGCCGCGUGAGGGAUGACGGCCUUCGGGUUGUAAACCUCUUUCAGUAGGGAAGAAGCGAAAGUGACGGUACCUGCAGAAGAAGCGCCGGCUAACUACGUGCCAGCAGCCGCGGUAAUACGUAGGGCGCAAGCGUUAUCCGGAAUUAUUGGGCGUAAAGAGCUCGUAGGCGGUUUGUCGCGUCUGCCGUGAAAGUCCGGGGCUCAACUCCGGAUCUGCGGUGGGUACGGGCAGACUAGAGUGAUGUAGGGGAGACUGGAAUUCCUGGUGUAGCGGUGAAAUGCGCAGAUAUCAGGAGGAACACCGAUGGCGAAGGCAGGUCUCUGGGCAUUAACUGACGCUGAGGAGCGAAAGCAUGGGGAGCGAACAGGAUUAGAUACCCUGGUAGUCCAUGCCGUAAACGUUGGGCACUAGGUGUGGGGGACAUUCCACGUUUUCCGCGCCGUAGCUAACGCNUAGUGCCGCCGCGGNGGUACGGCCGCGACGACGAACGUACAAGAAGUAGACGCGNGAGACGNGCGACGACGACGACGAGGGAGGAGG
rnacentral:rRNA from 1 species